rnacentral:rRNA from 1 species
UACGUAGGGGGCAAGCGUUGUCCGGAUUUAUUAGGCGUAAAGGGCACGCAGGCGGUCUUGCGCGUUUCGAGUGACAGGUGGUGGCUUAACUGCCACAGGCCUCGGAAAACGGCAAGACUUGAGGACUUCAGAGGGACGCGGAAUUCCAGGUGGAGCGGUGAAAUGCGUAGAGAUCUGGAAGAACACCAAAGGCGAAGGCAGCGUUCUGGGAAGUAUCUGACGCUCAGGUGCGAAAGCCAGGGGAGCGAACGGG